ensembl:lncRNA
AGUGGUGGUGGUGGUGGUGGUGGCGGCGGCAGCGGCGCCGCCGCCGCCAGCCCGCUCUCCAGGCCCGCAGCCGCCAUAGCGCAUGCACCCCCACUCCUGCCCGCCCGGUCUCGCUUGGACGCCGGAAGGGAUUUUGCGCCCUUCCGCCGUGGCGUCACGUGACAUCCCCUUGGUAACGCAAGAUGGCGGCGCCCAUGUUGCUGCCCGAGUCCCCUCUGGGGAAGUUGAGCCAUCAAAAAUACAGAGCUAUUCUGAAGAAAGAAAAGCGGAAAAAAAAGCGUCAGGCACUUGCCAAACUGAGAGAUUCAGAAGCUACAGAAAAAGAUGAAUCAAUGUCUGAGGAGGAAGAAGAGGAACUGGAAGAAGAGGAAGAAGAAGAAGAAGAAGAAAAAAAACUUGAGGCAGAAAGACAAAAACUACAUGAGCAGUGGUUGCUAAGAGAAGAAAAGGCCCAAGAAGAGUUCAAACUUAAGAAAGAAAAAGAAGAGGCUGCAAGAAAACGUCAAGAAGAAGAAGAGGUGAUGUAUCAAAUGAGGAUUAUAGUUGUGUCUGGCAGUAAGGAAAAUUUACUGUAAUAUGUUCUACUUUUCCUUAGCAGACCUAGUUUUCUCAACAUUGAUAUGUUUGAAAGUAUACGCUCUUCUGUCUUUUUUUUUCCACUGUAGAAGAGCAAAAUUAACACUUUUCUAGUUAAAUUUCUUUUUAAAAAAAGGUUUUUCAAAAAGGUUUUUCUCCAGAGAUUUGUUUACUUAUGACUGAAUGAAAACUCAAUGAUCAAAGAGUACACAACAUGAUAGUUUUUAACUUGGCUACAGUGAUUUUAAAGCAUUCAUUCGUUUUCUGUAUUUUUUUUGUCCUAAAGAGAAAGAUCAAAGAAGAAUGGGAAGAACAACAAAGAAAAGUAAGAGAAGUGGCACAGCAGAAGCAACAGCAGAAGAGAGAAAGAGAGGUGAUUCCUGUAGUGGGAGGAUAAACAUGUUACAUAUCCUCUCACAUUAUCAGAUGCAACAGUCUACGCAUGUUAAAGAAGCAUUUUAUUCUAUUCUAAUUAGGAAUGCAUAAAUGUUACUUCCUCUCUCCAUUCUAUCUAAAUUGCUGAAAAUAUACUUCAUCGAUAUAGAUGAAUCUAAUGAAUUCAUACACCUGGAAGGAUAACUAAUUUUAAUGUAUCUGGUUGCUCGUAAUACGUUUCCUCUGUAGUUUUUUUAUGUCAGCUAAACAUGAAGGUGCAUUCUCAAAGCAAGUUCUGAUAUGUUCCCUUUUUGCAUUUUGUGUUAAAGAUAAUCCUUAUUUAAUGUCUUAUAUGAACACAGUCAGUGUUGAAGAAAAUUCCUGAUGAGGGUAUGGAAUAUGGCAUUACAUUGCUGCUGUUCCUUAACAUAGUUCUUAAUCAAAAGAUAUAUUGCAGCUCUGCUUUACCUGACUCAUCCAACAGGACGUAUCUUUUUUUUUUCAGAGCUCCUUGGGUGGGAAAGAAAAAUAUACUGAAGAUAUUAGUCAUUGAUGGAAUUUCUGUUAACUGUACAUUCUUCCUAAGUUUUAGAAUUUGAAUGACUGGGAUGUGAGAUGCCCUGU